rnacentral:rRNA from 1 species
CUACGUAGGGUGCGAGCGUUGUCCGGAAUUACUGGGCGUAAAGAGCUCGUAGGUGGUUUGUCGCGUCGUCUGUGAAAUUCCGGGGCUUAACUCCGGGCGUGCAGGCGAUACGGGCAUAACUUGAGUACUGUAGGGGAGACUGGAAUUCCUGGUGUAGCGGUGAAAUGCGCAGAUAUCAGGAGGAACACCGGUGGCGACGGCGGGUCUCUGGGCAGUAACUGACGCUGAGGAGCGAAAGCAUGGGUAGCGAAAAGGAUUAGAUACCCUGGUAGUCCAUGCCGUAAACGGUGGGCGCUAGGUGUAGGGGUCUUCCACGACUUCUGUGCCGUAGCUAACGCAUUAAGCGCCCCGCCUGGGGAGUACGGCCGCAAGGCUAAAACUCAAAUGAAUUGACGGGG